GCAUCCAUGGCUGAAUGAUUAAAGCACCCGAUUCAAAAUUAAUGACUUUUUAGGUUCAAUUCCUGCUGGAUAUA
rnacentral:tRNA from 1 species